rnacentral:pre_miRNA from 1 species
AGCUUUUGAAUCCGUGCUGAGAUUUCGUCAGACACCAACCCAUUAAGGCUGAUCAGACUUGCAAGUUAAGUGAAGUU